GCUUCUUGGCGCAGUUGGCAACGCGUCAGUCUCAUAAUCUUAAGGUCACCAGUUCAACCUGGCAAAAAGCA